AUAAGUUUGGUCCUAGCUUUACUAUCAAUUAUUUCUAAACUUACACAUGCAAGUCUCAGCAGUCCUGUGAAAACGCCCUUUCCCAAUCGGGCUAAGGAGCUGGUAUUAGGCACAGAACUCUUGCCCACAACACCUAGUCUUACCACACCUACAAAGGCCUUCAGCAGUGAUAAAAAUUGUUCAUAAGCGUCAGCUUGAAUCAGUUAUAGAAAAGAGAGCCGGCCAAUCCGGUGCCAGCCGCCGCGGCUAAACCGUUGGGCUCAAAUUGAUAAUGACCGGCGUUAAGCGUGAUUAGAGGAGAAGCAAAAUUAGAGUUAAAUUUAAACUUAGCUGUGAAAAGCUUGUCAUUUAGAAACCCAAAAACGAAAGUUACUCUAAUAUAACCCCUUGAAUACACGACAGUUAGGAAACAAACUGGGAUUAGAUACCCCACUAUGCCUAACCGUAAAAUUUAACUUACACCCACAACGCCAGGGUACUACGAGCUUUAGCUUAAAACCCAAAGGACUUGACGGUGUCCCAUCCAACUAGAGGAGCCUGUUCUAUAAUCGAUGAUCCACGAUAUACCAAACCAUUUCUAGCCAUUCAGCCUGUAUACCUCCGUCGUAAGCUUACCGUAUGAACGAACACCAGUAGGCUAAAGGACUAUAACGUCACAACGUCAGGUCAAGGUGCAGCUAAUGAAAUGGAAGUAAUGGGCUACAAUUUCUAAAUUAGAACAAACGAAACACUAUAUGAAAUAUAGUCGUGAAGGAGGAUUUAGCAGUAAGUAGGAAAUAGAGAGUCCUACUAAACAUGGCCCUGGGACGUGUACAAACCGCCCGUCACCCUCUUCGAUAGUUUUAAAUAUGCUUUAUAACACACUAACACGCCUUAGAAGAGGUAAGUCGUAACAUGGUAAGUAUACUGGAAAGUGUACUUGGAAUAA
rnacentral:ncRNA from 1 species